UAUUUAUUUAUUUUUAAAACCCAUACAAAACCCACUAACAAAACCCAUUAUAACUUCCCUAACGUCAGCCAAUUAAUUGUGGCCAAUAACAAGGAGACAACUGUCAAAAAGCCAGCUCACACUCAUAUUAUUUGUUAAGGUUAUACCACCGAUGGACAGACAAAAAUGAUCGGCCGAAACCCAUUUAUUCACAUGAAUAUAUAUUACAGUCCACAUUCAAAGCCCAAAACCGGUAAAUUUAACUAAUCUCCUCAUUCUCAAUCUCACGUUCCAUCUACCUUAUCCUGAAAUCAAACCUUAAUAGCAUGAAAUCUCUUAAGCAUCAAUAAAUAUGUAAACACUAAUAGCCAGACAAUUUAAUUUCGAAUUGAAUCGGAUGUGUAACGUCUCCCUCCAUUACUAUCGGCCAUCAAAGCUUUACAGAACUUAUGACACCCAAACUCUUCACCUCCCAUCAAACUCGAGCUAUAUAUACUCACAUGAAAGGGAAAAAUUUUCUCUUCCCAAAUCCCCUUACAAAUAACCAAUCGCACACACC
rnacentral:lncRNA from 1 species